AUUGAACGCUGGCGGCAUGCCUUACACAUGCAAGUCGAACGGCAGCGGGGGAGAAGCUUGCUUUUCCUGCCGGCGAGUGGCGAACGGGUGAGUAAUACAUCGGAACGUGCCCUGUAGUGGGGGAUAACUAGUCGAAAGAUUAGCUAAUACCGCAUACGACCUGAGGGUGAAAGUGGGGGACCGCAAGGCCUCAUGCUAUAGGAGCGGCCGAUGUCUGAUUAGCUAGUUGGUGGGGUAAAGGCCUACCAAGGCGACGAUCAGUAGCUGGUCUGAGAGGACGAUCAGCCACACUGGGACUGAGACACGGCCCAGACUCCUACGGGAGGCAGCAGUGGGGAAUUUUGGACAAUGGGCGAAAGCCUGAUCCAGCAAUGCCGCGUGUGUGAAGAAGGCCUUCGGGUUGUAAAGCACUUUUGUCCGGAAAGAAAUGGCUCUGGUUAAUACCUGGGGUCGAUGACGGUACCGGAAGAAUAAGGACCGGCUAACUACGUGCCAGCCGCCGCCGUAAAAC
rnacentral:rRNA from 1 species